UUGUCGCCGGGAGUGAAGCGGGGACGGAGGAGUGACACCGCCGCGGACUGACGGAAUAGUCCGUUGAAGAGUGUAGGUAUUCGGAGGCCAGGCAAAUCCGGUCUCCGAGCUGAACUUGACAGUACUGCGAGCCUUCGGGCAAGCAGACAGCGCGGGUAAUCAGACUCCCAAGAAAAUCCGCUAAACAUAUGUCGGCGACACCCGUACCGAAACGGACACACGUGGUCGGGUAGAACAUACUAAGGCGCUCGAGAGAUUCACCGUUAAGGAACUAGGCAAAUUGACCUCGUAACUUCGGGAUAAGGGGUCCCACAGCGAUGUGGGCGCAGAGAAUAGGUCCAGGCAACUGUUUAACAAAAACACAGGGCUGUGCGAAAUUUAAAGAUGAAGUAUACAGCCUGACACCUGCCCGGUGCCGGAAGGUUAAGAGGAGAAGUCAUCGCAAGAGAAGCUUUGAAUUGAAGCCCCGGUAAACGGCGGCCGUAACAAUAACGGUCCUAAGGUAGCGAAAUUCCUUGUCGGGUAAGUUCCGACCUGCACGAAUGGUGUAAUGAUCUGGACACUGUCUCAACGGUGAGCUCGGUGAAAUUGUAGUAUCGGUGAAGAUGCCGAUUACCCGCAACGGGACGAAAAGACCCCGUGAACCUUUACUGCAGCUUAGCAUUGGGACCGGGUGCGUGAUGUGUAGGAUAGUCCGGAGACAGCGAAGCGGGGGCGCCAGCCCUCGCGGAGUCGACGUUGAAAUACGGACCUUUGCGCAUCUGGUCUCUAACUCGCGGAAAGCGAGGACACUGCUUGGUGGGUAGUUUGACUGGGGUGGUCGCCUCCAAAAGAGUAACGGAGGCUUCUAAAGGUGCCCUCAGACCGAUUGGUAACCGGUCGCAGAGUGUAAUGGCAUAAGGGCGCUUGACUGAGAGGACGACAAUCCGAACAGGUAGGAAACUAGAGCAUAGUGAUCCGGCGGUACCGCAUGGAAGGGCCGUCGCUCAAAGGAUAAAAGGUACUCCGGGGAUAACAGGCUGAUCCCGCCCAAGAGCUCAUAUCGACGGAGUGGUUUGGCACCUCGAUGUCGGCUCGUCACAUCCCGGGGCUGGAGAAGGUCCCAAGGGUUAGGCUGUUCGCCUAUUAAAGUGGCACGCGAGCUGGGUUCAGAACGUCGUGAGACAGUUCGGUCUCUAUCUGUUGUGGGCGCGGGAGAUUUGCGGGGAUCCGACACUAGUACGAGAGGACCGUGUUGGACCGACCUCCGGUGAGCCGGUUGUACCGCCAGGUGCACGGCCGGGUAGCCGCGUCGGGGACGGAUAAGUGCUGAAAGCAUCUAAGCACGAAGCCAACCUCAAGAUAAGAUCUCCAUACAGGGCCGUCGAAGACGACGACGUCGAUAGGCUGCAGGUGUAAAGUCAGUGAUGGCAAAGCCGAGCAGUACUAAUUGCCC
rnacentral:rRNA from 1 species